UACGUAGGGUGCAAGCGUUGUCCGGAAUUAUUGGGCGUAAAGAGCUCGUAGGCGGUUUGUUGCGUCGGCUGUGAAAUCCCCGAGGCUCAACCUCGGGUCUGCAGUCGAUACGAGCAAACUAGAGUGUUGCAGGGGAGACUGGAAUUCCUGGUGUAGCGGUGAAAUGCGCAGAUAUCAGGAGGAACACCGGUGGCGAAGGCGGGUCUCUGGGCAGUAACAUGACGCUGGAGGAGCGAAAGCGUGGGGAGCGAACGGG
rnacentral:rRNA from 1 species